AAAGUAGGGUUUCCCAAAUCUGGAUCUCUAGCUGUUUUUGGACUACAAUUCCCAACAUCUUUGACCACUGGUCCUGCUAGCUAGGGAUGGUGGGAGUUGUAGUCCAACAACAGCUGGAGGGCCAAGUUUGGGAAACCUUUCUAU